AUUGAACGCUGGCGGCAGGCCUAACACAUGCAAGUCGAACGGGUGGCGGACGGGUAGUUAAUUUCGGGAAAACUGCCCGAUGAAGGGGGUUACCUCCUGGAAACGUUAGCUAAUCCCCAAUACAACGGGAUGUGCCAAGAUGGGAUUAGCUAGUAGGGGGGGUAAAGGCUCACCUAGGCGACGAUCCCUAGCUGGGCUGAGAGGAUGACCAGCCACACUGGAACUGAGACACGAUCCAGACUCCUACGGGAGGCAGCAGUGGGGAAUAUUGCACAAUGGGCGCAAGCCUGAUGCAGCCAUGCCGCGUGUAUGAAGAAGGCCUUCGGGUUGUAAAGUACUUUCAGCGGGGAGGCGUUACCCGCAGAAGAAGCACCGGCUAACUCCGUGCCAGCAGCCGCGGUAAUUC
rnacentral:rRNA from 1 species